rnacentral:rRNA from 1 species
AACGAACGCUGGCGGCAGGCUUAACACAUGCAAGUCGAACGCACCUUUCGGGGUGAGUGGCCGACGGGUGAGUAACGCGUGGGAAUCUACCCUUCUCUACGGGAUAGCUCCGGGAAACUGGAAUUAAUACCGUAUACGUCCUGAGGGAGAAAGAUUUAUCGGGGAAGGAUGAGCCCGCGUUGGAUUAGCUAGUUGGUGGGGUAAAGGCCUACCAAGGCGACGAUCCAUAGCUGGUCUAAGAGGAUGAUCAGCCACAUUGGGACUGAGACACGGCCCAAACUCCUACGGGAGGCAGCAGUGGGGAAUAUUGGACAAUGGGCGCAAGCCUGAACCAGCCAUGCCGGGUGAGUGAUGAAGGCCGUAGGGUUGUAAAGCUCUUUCAGUGGGGACGAUAAUGACGGUACCCACAGAAGAAGCCCCGGCUAACUUCGUG